rnacentral:rRNA from 1 species
UACAGAGGUCUCAAGCGUUGUUCGGAUUCAUUGGGCGUAAAGGGUGCGUAGGCGGCGCGGUAAGUCGGGUGUGAAAUCCCGAGGCUCAACCUCGGAACUGCGUCUGAAACUACUCGACUAGAGUACUGGAGAGGGUAACGGAAUUCACGGUGUAGCAGUGAAAUGCGUAGAUAUCGUGAGGAACACCAGAGGCGAAGGCGGUUACCUGGACAGUUACUGACGCUCAGGCACGAAAGCAUGGGGGAGCAAAAGGGG